rnacentral:lncRNA from 1 species
AAGCAAGUAUUUGGAUCCAAAGGACAAGAUAAUGGAAGAUGUUUUUAUAGUAAGAUGGGCCGCAACGUAAAGAAAAGGGAUCAGGAAACUAGUUAGUACUGGAUUUAAUUCUGUAUAAGAGUUUGCAGAAAGAAAUCCUAGCUCCUGACAGACCUGGGAUGUUAAACACGGCUUCCAUCAAAAAAUGGUGUGGUGGAAAUGAGUUCUCACUAACUGGAGAAGGGGAGUGAAAAGGAGUUGAUCAUAAAGUUAUAGAAGUGGUCAGGUUAGAGUCACCCUAUGGAACAAAUCAAGGAUUCAGUAGUAGUGAACCCAAUAAUAAGCAGUCAUAGCAGGAACUCAAGUGGAGAACUGGGUUACAAAGUUCACAGUAAGACCAAGAUGUAGACUGGCUUGAUACUGUGCUGGUAAAUUAUGGAACCUGGGCUCUCUAUGUGACCCUCACCUAGGUCUGCCCUCUAGAGCCUGAAAUGGAACUGCAAGUAGAAAUGUGUACCAAGUGUGCUCAACCUCCUAGGCCUAAAGGACUUAAGAACAGAGUCAAGAAGGGUAUUAAGGCUUUUUAAUCAUUGUUUACUUUAUAAAUAUCUGCCAUGGAGUUCCUGUCAUGGCGCAGUGGUUAACGAAUCCAACUAGGAACCAUGAGGUUGCGGGUUCGAUCCCUGCCCUUGCUCAGUGGGUUAACGAUCCGGCGUUGCCGUGAGCUGUGGUGUAGGUUGCAGGCGCAGCUCGGAUCCCGCGUUGCUGUGGCUCUGGCAUAGGCCGGUAGCUACGGCUCCGAUUCGACCCUAGCCUGGGAACCUCCAUAUGCCGCAGGAGUGGCCCAAGAAAUAGCAAAAAGAGACAAAAAUAAAUAAAUAAAAAUAAAAAUAAAUAAAUAUCUGCCAUAACCAUUUCUAUUAUCCCAGAAUACUCUUAAUAUUUUUAUUUCGUUUCUAGUGGUUAGUCAUUAUCAUAUUCCCAUUUUGGAAACUGUUCUUCCUCUACCUCACAGAGCCUUGCUUCCACCAGAAUGAUGGUGAACAUGUGACCCAGAAUGGCCAGAGUACCUCAUCCCUCUAGGUAAAGUAGUUAUUCAAGGAGGCACCAAAUCCAGAUACGGCUGAUCGGAGACCCCCAUUAGAUUUGAAGACAUUCCUGACAGAAAAAAAAAUGUAAGCGAAGACUAGAUCAUAAUGUAAGCCAAGACUAGAUCAACCAGUGGCCAGCAAUCUUUGCCACUUUGUGGAGUCUUCUUGAACAUGAGGCCAACACAGAGAAAAAUACAGUGGAGAGAGUCAAUUCUCAUUGGCAUCAAUUGUGCCGUUUACCCGAUUGUACCUCAAUCCUAUAUUACUACAUUGACAUACACAGUAAAACAUUUUUUGUUUACACCAAACUGUUUGGGAAAGUAUUGAAUAUUCUCUAAGUAACAUACAAAACAUCUGCAGGGUGUCUGGUCCAGAGUAGCCCUCACAUUAUUUCCCUUUCCCCCAUGCACAUAAUCCUCAUGCCAACUUUUCUUUCUCUAGCUUACGGUAUCCUUUCUAUAACAACAUAUCUGUGUUCAGAACUCUCUUGUACAUAAACAAAGAUUUUUAGAAAGGAAUUCUCAGCUCUCUUCAGGAAUCUGUAUUGUCUUAGAUCAUGAAGAUCCCCAUGGUAAGAGUUUAUCCCAGGCAUCCAGAUUUCACUGGGAAAAGAUAAGAAACUGUUUAUUCUCCCGAAGAAAAUAUUACUUUAACGUUUUUAUCAUUACUAUGCACUAUGGGUGCAGCCCUAAAAUGGUUUCCUCUAACCUUUCAAAAGUUUCAAGUACUAAAUUCACCCAUCAAGGGGUAAUUUUCUUGAUUAUAUUAUUUUGGGAGCUGCUGUCUGAGCAAGAUGAGUUAAGAACUCUAAAAUGUAAUCAGAGCUUCAGCAUCCAAGGUUUAGUAACAAUUAAUAGACUCUGGUACAAAAGAUUUUUAUUAAUGUAGUCCAUAGUUUAGUCUUCAUUUUUAAGAUAAGUUUAUUGCAUACAAGUAAAUAUUUAAAAAUACAUCCAUCUAAACUACUAUGAAGUACCACCUUAUACCAGCCAGAAUGGCCAUCAUCAAAAAGUCUACAAACAAUAAAUGAUGGAGAGGGUGCAGAGAAAAGGGAACCCUCCUACACUACUGGUGGGAAUGUAAACUGAUACAAGCACUAUGAAAAAGAGUAAAAGAGUAUGGAGGUUCCUCAAAAAGCUAAAUAUAGAACUACCAUAAGAUCCAGAAAUCCCACUCCUGGGCAUAUAUCCAAAGAAAACCAUAAUUCGAAAAGAUACAUGCACUCCAAUGUUCACUGCAGCACUAUUUACAACAGCUAAUACAUGGAAGCAACCUAAAUAUCCAUCGACAGAGGAAUGGAUAAAGAGGAUGUGAUUCAUAUAUACAAUGGAAUAUUACUCAGCCAUAAAAAGCAUGAAAUAACUCCUUCAGCAACAUGGAUGAACCUAGAGAUUAUCUUAUAAGUGAAGUAAAUCAGACAGUGAGAGACAAAACUUUCUUUCUUUGAAGAAAGUCUAGCCUCUCAGUUAAAUUCAUAGUCUUUGGAAUCAGGUAGGUCACCUUAAAAUUCCAAUUAUACCACUUAUUAGUUGUGUGACCUUGAGAAUAUUACUCAAACCCUCUGAUCUUCUCUUUCCUCCUUUAAGAAAGGGGGACAAUAAAUGAUAUCUACCACAUAUGGUUACUGUGAGGAUUAAACAGAAUAAUGUACAUACAUAGUCCUUAGUAUGUGAUAAAUAAUAAACAGUGGCAACUUUUGACUGGCAGGCUAAGUAGCUUACAUAUCAACUACUGGUAGAAUGAGACACUGAACCACUGAAGAGGUAUAAAUUAUGAAGAAGGCACGCAAAGAAAUUAAUCUAAAGAAGCAGAAUGACCAAGUGGGAGGGGGAGGGAGCGGGAUGGAUUGGGAACUUGGGGUUAAUAGAUACAGACUAUUGCCUUCGGAAUGGAUAAGCAAUGAGAUCCUGCUGUGUAGCACUGGGAGCUAUAUCUAGUCACUUAUGAUGGAGCAUGAUAAUGUGAGAAAAAAGAAUGUAUACAUGCAUGUGUAACUGGGUUGCCAUGCUGUACAGUAGAAAAUUGACAGAACACUGUAAACCAGCCAUAACGAAAAAAAAUCAUUAUAUAAAAAAAGCAGAAAGAAGUAUAGAGAGAGACACAAGGGAAGAGAGACUGCUCAAUGUGCUUAUUACAAGAGUCCAACGAAGUAAGUGUCUGAUCUAGUCAUUAGCAGUAGGAAUAGAAAGAAAAACUGGAACAAGACUCACAAUUAAAAUAAUUUUAUGUCAUUUCCUCUGUUGUGUAUUGAUCUAACACUCUAGUUUAUUGAGUAAGGACUUCAAUGAGAAAUGUAUGUUAAAACCUCAUUGUAUAGCCAAGACACAGUAGCAACCUAAAUGCCUGAUGACAAAUAAAUGGAUAAAGAAGAUGUGGUACAUAUAUACAAUGGAAUGUUACUCAGCCAUAAACAAGAACGAAAUAAUGCCAUCUGUAGCAACACAGAUGGACCUAGAGAUUAUCAUACUUACCUCAUACUAUGUGAGGUAAGUCAGACUGAGAAAGACAAAUACCAUCUGAGAUUACCUAUAUGUGGAAUAUAAUAAAAAUGAUGUAAAAGAACUUAUAAAACAGAAACAAACUGAUAGAUUUCAAAAUCAAACUUAUAGUUACUAAAGGAGAAACUGGAGGAGGGAUAAAUCGGGAGUUUGGGAUUUACAUAUACACACUAUUACAUAUAAAAUAGGUAACUAUCAAGGACCCACUGUAUAGCACAGGGAAAUCUACUCAAUAUUCUGUAAUAACCUAUAUAGGAAAAGAAUCUUAAAAAGAAUGUUAUAUGUAUAUUGUACAACUGAAUCAAUUUGCUACACACCUGAAACUAAUAUAAUACUAAGUCAACUAUACUCCAAUAAAAUGUUUAAACCCUCAUUGUAACCAUUAAUAUUAAGUGUUAAACUGCUAGCAAAAGUAAAAAAUAGGUGAAAUUCAACAGAGAGAAAUCCUAUACAAAUAUUAAUAUCUAAUGUGCCAACCCAUCAUUUUUAUUUGCAGACUCAUCUAUUUCAAUCAAAUUACACUAUUUAUACCCAAUCUUUCAUCUUGAUAGCAUGCCAAACUGUAGCAAUUACUUACCUUCUAAUAGUAUAUGUAUUAUUUUAGAAGGUUUUGUGGACUUCUGUGAAAAAUUACUAGUUUUGGAGCUAAAGAAAAAAAUAUUUGAAGCCUGAAACUGUGGGUUAAAUCUGAGCCAGUCGAGUACAUUAUAAUUAUAAUGCAGUUAGUUUUGGGUUACCUUCAGCAGCAGUGUUGGCAUAAUUAGCUCCAUCAAAUGUUAAAAAAUAAUUUUUGUAAAUUACUCAUUUAAUUGUUUUCAUCUUGGAUAUAGAGACAUUCUUUAAUUAGGCAUGAGUCAACUAACAGUGUCACAGGCUAAUUUGCUGAUACGAGCAGAGAAGAAACAGAGUGCAGUCCUGGAAGAUGCUUUUUAUAAACCUUCCAGCCUUGCAAGAAUGCUCUGAGUGCUGCCUUCUUCAGCAUGAACGCCAUUUCUAUGAGUGGUAAACUACUCUUGUCAAAGCUAGAUAGAAUAACAUAUGGGAGGGUGCCAUUUUUAACUAAAAAUCUACAAAAAUAUAAGCCAUGUGUUGUAGACCUUCUUGUCAAGUACCAAAGUUACAUUAGCGUUGCUGAUCUGAUCAGAAGCAUCCAGAGAUAUAGACUAAGAAUUGAGUUAAGAAUUCCUAUUUGCUCACCAACAAGCUUGCCUCUAUGUUUAUGUAACUAGAAUGUGUAUGUUUAUGAUAGCUUCUUUGCACAGGUGAGCAAGCCACCAGAAGCAAUCCCAUCUAGCCCUCCUUACCCUCUCCUGUUUCAGAGCAGCAGGCCCUUUUCUUGAACCUAUUUCUUUUUAUCCCCUUACCCUCAAGUUGCCAGAACUGGACAAAACUCACCAGUU